rnacentral:rRNA from 1 species
AGUGACGCGUGGGUAACCUGCCUUAUACAGGGGGAGUAACAGUCAGAAAUGGCUGCUAAUACCGCAUAAGCGCACAGAGCUGCAUGGCUCAGUGUGAAAAACUCCGGUGGUAUAAGAUGGACCCGCGUUGGAUUAGCUUGUUGGCAGGGUAACGGCCUACCAAGGCGACGAUCCAUAGCCGGCCUGAGAGGGUGAACGGCCACAUUGGGACUGAGACACGGCCCAGACUCCUACGGGAGGCAGCAUG